rnacentral:rRNA from 1 species
UGGGGAAUUUUCCGCAAUGGGCGAAAGCCUGACGGAGCAAUACCGCGUGAAGGAAGACGGCCUAUGGGUUGUAAACUUCUUUUUUCAGGGAGGAAUUCAAUGACGUGUACCUGAAGAAUAAGCAUCGGCUAACUCCGUGCCAGCAGCCGCGGUAAGACGGAGGAUGCAAGUGUUAUCCGGAAUCACUGGGCGUAAAGCGUCUGUAGGUUGUUAAACAAGUCAACUGUUAAAUCUUGAGGCUCAACUUCAAAAUCGCAGUCGAAACUGUUUGACUAGAGUAUAGUAGGGGUAAAGGGAAUUUCCAGUGGAGCGGUGAAAUGCGUAGAUAUUGGAAAGAACACCGAUGGCGAAGGCACUUUACUGGGCUAUUACUGACACUCAGAGACGAAAGCUAGGGUAGCAAAUGGGAUUAGAUACCCCAGUAGUCCUAGCCGUAAACAAUGGAUACUAGAUGUUGAACAGAUCGACCUGUGCAGUAUCAAAGCUAACGCGUUAAGUAUCCCGCCUGGGAAGUAUGCUCGCAAGGGUG